AUUGAACGCUGGCGGCAGGCUUAACACAUGCAAGUCGAGCGGAGAUGAGGUGCUUGCACCUUAUCUUAGCGGCGGACGGGUGAGUAAUGCUUAGGAAUCUGCCUAUUAGUGGGGGACAACAUUCCGAAAGGAAUGCUAAUACCGCAUACGCCCUACGGGGGAAAGCAGGGGAUCUUCGGACCUUGCGCUAAUAGAUGUGCCUAAGUCGGAUUAGCUAGUUGGUGGGGUAAAGGCCUACCAAGGCGACGAUCUGUAGCGGGUCUGAGAGGAUGAUCCGCCACACUGGGACUGAGACACGGCCCAGACUCCUACGGGAGGCAGCAGUGGGGAAUAUUGGACAAUGGGCGGAAGCCUGAUCCAGCCAUGCCGCGUGUGUGAAGAAGGCCUUUUGGUUGUAAAGCACUUUAAGCGAGGAGGAGGCUACCUGGAUUAAUACUCUAGGAUAGUGGACGUUACUCGCAGAAUAAGCACCGGCUAACUCUGUGCCAGCCGCCGCUGUAAUAC
rnacentral:rRNA from 1 species